CACACCGUAAACGAUGUGUGCUAGUUGUCGGGUAGUUUACUAUUCGGUGACGGAGCUAACGUUUUAAGCACACCGCCUGGGAAGUACGGCCGCAAGGUUAAAACUCAAAGGAAUUGACGGGGACCCGCACAAGCGGUGGAACAUGUCCUUUAAUUCGUAGCAACGCGAAGAACCUUACCUACCCUUGACAUGCCAGUUGGGAUUUCCAGAGAUGGAUUUCUUCAUUUAGUUGGACUGGACACAGGUGC
rnacentral:rRNA from 1 species